rnacentral:lncRNA from 1 species
UCUCACUUCACUUUGUCGCGUUAUUUUGCCCUUUGUCUCUCUCUAAAUUUCGUAUCCCUCUCCAUACAACACACAAAUCUACAAUCGAUCGACCUAGCCCUCUUCUACAAGAUCCUUUUGGCGCACGAUUAAGGUUCAAUUCAGGUAAUAAUCCUAUGCAAUCGGUCAACCUAUCCCUUUUAGGUAACGAUUUCGAACAUGAUAUUUUCUUCAAUUUGUAAAUUAUACCUGCUGAAUUUUUUGUACGAGUAUAUGGUUGUAUGAAUCUGCCCUAACAGUUUCCUUCAUCUUGCCAAAUUAGCUCUCUACCUUGUUUGAAUCGUAGUUUUUUUUUCUCUUCAUCUGUCUUUAAUAGUAGAGAAUUUUGAACUUUGUUGUUCAUUAUUUUUAGGGCUUUUUAGAACUUUUUGAACAUUCAGUGUGGGGUAGGAUUUUGAAUUUUGUUCAAAGUGUUGUUGCCUUUAAUUUACUACUGUUUUUAAGGUAAAUAUCUUACUAAUGUGUACUUGUUUCUUUAAUUUACUGAGGGUUUAAAAAUUAUCUUAGUGUUGGUUUUGGCUUCUUAAAUAUUGCAAGCUAGGUGUUUGUUAAAAUAACUUAAAGAAUCAAAAAUCUAGCAUCUUGUCAUUUCUAUGUGCAUAUACUUUUUAGGAUGCAAGUAAGAAAAUCUGCUGUAAUGCCACAAAAUUAAUAAAUUUAUUAUGCUGACAGAUAAAAUGAUGAUGUUCAAUGUCCACUAUAAUUUGGGGCAAUUUUUUUUAACUAUUAGUCUGUAGGAAUAUCUUAAAAUUGAAAUUAUAGCUCCGCAAACUUGCUCCAUAUGAUUCUUGCACUCUAAAACGCUUUUGUAGAGGCCAUGGUGGUAUUUAAAGGCAAUGUAUAUUUGAGGAGCCAAGCCCACAACCUUCUUACAAUAUAAGCCCGGAUGGUCAUCCACAUGAUAGAGAAUAUUACCUCAUAUCCCUUUUUGUUGUUCCUAGGCAUUUUUAUUUGAUAUAGUGCAUGUUGACAGUUGUGAUAUGGUGCAUGUUGAUAGUUGUGAAUGUAUUAAAAUAAUUGACAAAGUUGGAUUGCCUGUUUGAUGCACUAGUAAAGUGUCUUGUCUGCUCUAUUCGAGGAAAUAAAAUCUUCAAUAUAUGUGAAAUAGUCAGAGACUCGGAACAAACAAGAAUCUCCCCUGCAUUUUAGCUGAUAACAGGACUUCUUUUCUUAAAUAGUUAGCUAGCCUUGUUUUCAAGGUCUAUGCGUCCCAUAAUCUUUAGUAUCGUUAUUAAUGUGUGCUUGUUUAUAAAAUUUUUCAACAUUAUAAUAUUGAAGCAAGCGAGCCUACUAAUCUGCAACUUUGACUUAUUGUUUAUACCAUACUCUGUUUUUUCCAAGUCAUUUUGUAAUGAACCAAAGACCGCUGGAAGGAUGUUUUAUGAUCUUGAGCUGUUGAAAAUUGUUCUUUCUGAAGAAGCUUGUUAAUAAUGUUGUUCUAUUGCUUACCUUUAUAAGUUUUGUGGUAUAUCUUUAAAUUAUCUGGUAAUUAGUCACCUUUUUUCAAGCAGAUUAUACCAUGAAUUUUUGAAAUCUUUUUGACAGAGUCGACCGAACCCCAUUGUCAGUUCGUCAUAGCCGCCUCAUUUAUAUUUCUGAUUUUGCUAUAGACAUUUUCAGUGUUAGUUCAACUUAUCUUAAGCAAUCCAAACUAUUCCCCAAUAAGUGUUUGAUUUCUAAUAUCCUAAUAUUUUGUUUCUGUUCAACUGAUUUUGUAGUAGCAGUUGAUAGAUACUUUGAAGGCCCAGUUUGUUGCUUACCAAGUACUUCAUAAGGAGUUAGCAGCGAAGUUGACCAAAUUGACAGAAUUAGUUGAGAAUCAACAGGUACAAAAAGGGCAAGUUAUUGAUGUUGAAGUUUAUGUUUUUAUUUCAAUUUUGUUCAUUAAAAAUUAUUAAUAACACAAAAAUUGGAUAAUAAACUUUAGUUUCCUCUCCAGCUUUUUAAUUAUUUUUUGAAAUUACUAUCCUUUUUUAUUUUCUUAGUCUUGAGGGUGAGUAUAGUUUUUUUUGGAACAAUGAAACUUGGCUUUAAGGCACUUCCUAGCAAUAUCAAGGCACUUUUAGCUGCACAUGAUGAUUCAUCAAGAAUUGACCAGUGGAGCAUUUCAGGCCUUCGGACACCAAAGUAUAAUAUUUCAACUCUAAAAAUGAAGCUUGCAGAAGAUGAUAACUUGGAUGUGAACUAUGCUGAUGAUAUAAUUUUAUUUAAUUGUUGAAAAUAAAAAUUUUAUUUUAAAUAAUAAUUUGUAUGUUAUUUGCAAUACAAAAUAUAAGACUUUUUUUGUUGAAUAGAUCACAAAUGCUAGAGUGACACUUCUUUGUUCUGCAAUUUGUUUAUUUAAAUUUGUUCUUAGUUAAUUUAUGACAUCCUAAAAUUCAAAUUAUAAUGUCAAUUUAUUUAUUGUUUUCAAAUAUUAAUUUUAUUUUUAAAAUACUUCUUAAAUAAUAUAAAUAUCAAUAUCAAUGUAAAAGGUUAAACGAUGUCGUGGGUUAACAGCGGUGUGAUACAAAUUGUUUUUUUCCUCUUUCUUAAAUAGUCCAAAUCUGUCGUUUGCUUUUUUGUUUCAGAUAGAAAGACAAGUUCAUUCUCUUUUUAUUCUUCAAUCGAUCCCACCGCCUAGCUUCGCUCGCCUCUCGUGUCCUCCAUCACAGGUUCAUGUCCCUUUUCUCUCUCCUCUAUCUCAUACAUCUAUCCUCUGAAAUUGAUUUUCAUUUUCUAGGAUAAUUUUUUUCUUUUGCUGCUCUCUUUCAAUUCAGUAAGACAUCUAAUAUCAGUUUAUUUAUUUGUAAUUUUUCACUUGGUUCAUCCAUUUGUGCUCAAUCAAAUCUGAUUUUGGUUAUAUGUGGUGAUUUUGGUGCUCAGUCAAUUUUAAUUUUGGAUAUAUGUGCACCAAAUGUUUGAUGUAUUGUCCAUCUGUUGCACUAGCUUGUACAUUAUAGCUACAAAUUUAAUGUCAGCAUAACCCUCCCAAUUUUAAAUUUAAGUAUAAACUUAAUCCAUUUCAUUUGGAUACUCUGAACCAUGUUUUGGAAUUGAUUUGUCUAAUGUGAACUUUUAUUUGUAAAACUCUAUAUGCCCAAACUUAAUUAUGAAGCAGACGUUUGGUUGACCAUAAAUUUGUAAUUGUUUCAGCUUUUUAAAUGUAAAUAUCUAAUUCUUUGUUAUUAUAUUAUUAAUUAUACAACUUUAACAUUCUUUAACAUUAUAUACACCCGGAGAACUUGAAUGGUGCAUAACAUGUACCUUUUUGUUUAAAUGCCAAAAAGAGGGUAGACACCUAUAUUUUAACAAACUAUGUUUUACUAAUUAAGCUUAAUCUCUAAUUGGAGUUGGGUCCAGUUUACAAUUUAUAAAGUCUUUCGAAAACAAAAGGUGAGGUGACUAAUGUUUUUUUAACAUUUAUAAUUGCAAGCUUCUUAAGUUAAUUAACAUAUGGAUUUUAAUUUUGGAAAGAGGAAUGAGUUUUUGGCAAUAUCCUGUUAGCAAAUUAAUGUGUAUUCAUGCUUUCCUCUUAAAUUUUUCUUUUUAAUUGUUGUUUACUAAUUGAAUUACUAUACAGAAUGAGUUGAGAUUUCAGUUGUUCUGGUCUCCCAUUCAUUGUCUCUCUGUCUCUUGUAAGUUGCGACGUAGAACCAUUUUGUUAGCUCUAUAAAGUUCGUAAGUGAUGUUUCUCAUUUUUCAGGUUGUUGGUUAUUAUAGACUGAGCAGCCUUAAUAGUUCUAUUUUGCUUAGUGUAUGCUCUUUUUUUUGCUACGAUUACGUCUUUAUUCUCAUGUCGAAGUGUACAUUGGAAUGAUGUCAAACACUUUGAUGAGUGAAUAUGCAUUACAUUCAACACAAGUACAUGCAUAAAGUAAAAUAUCCGGCAAUUUUAUUAUUAUGUAGAGAAUAUUUUUGUCAUGAUAGCAACUGCUAAAAUAGAGUAUGCAUGUGCUCUCAUCUCAUCAGCAUCGUAUCAAGCUUUUUUUAUUAUUUAUAAUUCUAGUGACUUUAUAGGUCAGUGUGACAUACCCAUAUUCAACUGUGCUACAACAUAAUCUCACGACUAUAAACACAUGAUGAGUUGAAACUAGAAUAGAAAAUAAUCAAUACCGGGAAAAAUUGUAUGGUUAGCUACAAUCCAAUUUCAGAUCAAAGCUGAUGUGAAUGUGUAUUUCUCUCAAUCAGAUAUAUUCCUUCCUCUCUGCAUUAUGGAACUCUGUUUAUCUCUAUUUUUCUCGAAUUAAUUACUAUUUUUCCCAUCUUUGCACUAGAAGGGAUCAACGAUCUGGUGGGUUGAUGGUUUUUUUUAAAGAUUGUGUAGAAAGUUCAUUAACCCUCUAUUCUAAUGUUUUUAAUUGAUUUGAUGGGUUACUCCCUGCUCAACUUAGCUUUGGGCUUUAUGUUUAUGCCGAGUAGAACGUCAAGUACUCUCAAUUUAUGUUCUUUAUCUUUUACAGAUCUUAUUCUCUACAUGCAUGUUGGGUCGUAGUUCUUUGCAGUUCAUUUAAUUGGAGUGUACCAAUAUUUUUAUUUUUGUAAACUGUGUAGAGGAUUCCUAGUUUGACUUAAACAUGUUUAAGCAUCAACUUUAGUUUAAGCCUUUAAUGUCAUAAUUCCCAACUUUCAAGUGUCUUUUUGCAAGUUACUCAACAUUAAAGCAAUUGAAGUGCACUUAAUUAUUCAUUUACUAUUUAAUUCAUGGUGUUACAGAUGGUUGUGAAAGGGAUUGCUAAAGACUUCACGAAUAAUGAAAAUAUCAACUUCGAGGAAAAUUGGCCCAAUAUACCCUCUCCGGUUUGAGUUUAAGGGUUUUGAUAUUUCAACUUUUUAUUCUAUAAAAUACUUUUUUAGUUUUGAGGUUUUGAGCACAUAAGUUUCUUGGGAUUGUGUUAUAGUACUCUUACUUGCUUACACUUGUUCACCAAUUACCGAAAAUAGAUAGCUGCAUGAUUUAGGAAUUAGACUAUUGAUAAUGAUUAUGCUGACUACGUCUGCUUCUAGAGAUUGAGAACGAGUGUCAAACAAAAGGAAAAAACUUGGAGAUGUUAAAGUUAUUUUGGAACUGCAUUAUUGAUAGUGAUUACACUGGCUACAUCUAAGUUCUGGUGAUAUACUAUGUUCGUUGCAGAACAAUUAGCAAUGCUCAUUACGCAACAAAAGACGCAACGACAGUGAAGUCGUUGCCAAAACCCUUUUGCAACGAAAUUUGGCACCUUUAGCAACAAAAAUUGGUUGUUGCUGAAGUCCCAUUUUUUUGUAGUGCAUUUACUCUAAGACCUCAUUCACGUGUAUUUCAAAAUGGCUAGCCUAUGUUCUUCAUUUUCUUCCAACUCCCAAGCUCAUGAUCAUGAGGGAGUGAUGAUUAUGAUGAGUUCCAACAAUCAAUCUAACAACUCCUCCAUAACCUUCAUGCAAUCCUACAAUCCAUGGGUUUGAUUCAAUGGAAAAUUUCUAUGUCUGUGUAUUGAUUUUUCUAUAAAUAAGAGCUCCUUCCAUUUUUCCAAGUGUUGAGAAUUGCUAAGUGAGAGUUGAGAGCAUACAAGUAAUCUAGAGCUUGAGAGUUCAUUAGGAGCAAGUUCAUUGUAAUUAUAAAGGUAUAAAAUUCCUUCUUAUUCUUCAUUUUCAGUUUCUGUUAAAUUUCCAUUCUUGAAAUUCAAAUUCUUGAUUUUGUGGAAUUGGUUGCUAAUGAGGUUGGGUAAUGUCCAUAUAGUUGUUAUAUGACCAUAUAAGCAUGAUGCAACUGAUAUAUGAUGGUUUAAAAUCGAAAUCAUGAGUAAUUUUUGAGGUUGGGCUGGAGUUCUGCCGAAGCAGACUGCUUCUGCGCCUGAAUCAGGCAUGACGCAGCUACGCCACAUUUGUAUUGAGGCGCAUCGCAACUGCGCCGGUUGCUGAAUUCAGUUGAGCAGUCAAUUUUCAAAUCUGAUCAAUAUUGGCUAGUUGUUUUGACUCAAGCUAGCAUGUAAGCAUGUGUAUGAUGUAUAUAUGGAUACGUUAACCUAAUGUGAGCAUGUUUAGACUAGACUUGCAUGAUUAACGAAGGCGUAUGAUUUACAUGGAGAUUUAGACUAAGUUUUGAAAACAAACUAUGUUAAAUAUCAUGUUCUACAAAUUGUGAACCUAGUAAGCUAUGCAUGACUAAUUUUGCACAUAGAUGAGUAUGUUGUAGUGUAUAUAGUUCUUUUGAGCAUGUUCAAACUUACUAAGCCUUAUGUUAGAAAUAUUUUCAAUAAGAAGCUUAGCCUAGUGAGCUAACAUGCAUGAUUUUUAAAUGGUUUAUAUUUUGACUUUGAAAGCAUGUGAGUAUGACUUGGAAAUGCAUGAAUAAACCUUUAGCUUAUUUUUAUUUGAUUAGUAAGGAAACAUGAGCAUGUUGAACCUAUUAGCAAAGCUUUGAAUGUGAAUAUUGUCAAGAUACCAUGAGGACUAAAAUCUGACAUUUGUGAUCAUGUUUGAUGACACUCUUAGACUCGCUCAUGUAGCAUAACCAUAUAUAUACCAUGUUUGUGUAGCACAUUUCAAGAAAAGCAUGAACGAAGCCUAUUUUCAACUAAAGCGGUGUUAGUUUCAUGUAUGUGUUAUAAAUACACACAAGCAUGCCUAAUAUGAGUUUUUUUUAAAUAUCUUGUAUGUUUAGAAAGCAAGCAUGCUAGACCUUGUGAAUUCAUGACUUUGAAUGGCCUUAAAUUGUUAAAAUGAGCAACUUAGAACCAUGUUAUGAAAGAAGGAACCUAGAUUGACUUAAGGAGCAUGAAAAGACCUUUAACAUGAUAAAUAUAUUAUGUGUUAUUGUUUUGGUUGAGCUGGAGAGAAACCACAAGGCAGCAGCUGAGUCUUGGAAUGACCAUAGGACGACGCAGCUGCGCCGGUCCUAGGCUUAGCCAUGGCGCAACUGCGCCAGUCUGGAAUCCCAGAUAGUGAAUUCUGACUUUUGGACAGCAACUUUCAUGAUGCCUAUGAUGCUAAAUGUGAUCUAAAACCUACUGAUGUAUAUAUAUAUGAGUGAUGCCUAGUUGAUAAUUCGGUGUUGCAUUGAAAUGAAAAGUCCAUGAGUAGGAGGUCUUAACCUUGAGCAUUCUUGAUUUGCUUGUGAAGUAACUAAGUAGUUGAUUCAUGAUGACUUAUAAACUGAUUUUGUACCAUAUGUGCAUACUUGUAUCGUGUCGAGCUUGAUUAAGGACGAUGUUAGCUAAUGAACACUGUAUAUUUAUAAUACGUUAUACUAGGAUUCUAAAGUGUUGAUUUAUUAACGUGGAUAAACUACGCUUAAGGCAAGUUUCUCUAACAUUACUCAAAUUUAUAUUGAGCAAGUAUCCGAACCUUACUCUUAUUGUGCAAGUAUAAUUACAUUCUUUAUUCGACAAAUACCGUAAGCUUAUCCCUUUGAAUACAAGUUAUAUUACUUUCUCGUUCAAAUGAGCUAGUAUUUUAAACCCUUAUGAAAGCUGUUAUUCAUGUUGAACUUGGUAUUGUCCAUUGAAUAUUGUGAAAGAGUCGAUGUCAUUUGAUUCGGCUAGACUAUAUGCAUGUUUAUAAAAAAAAACUGUCCAAACCAAUUAAGUGGUGCGAAAAUCUUGAAAACUAAGUUGAACAACCCCUUUGGUAAAGGGAGUGUAUGUCGUUGGAAACCCCAACACAUGAAUGAAUAUUAUUGUGGUGUUAUGCAUAACGUAUAGUAUUGUAGAUUGAUCAUCUAUAGUACUUGAUAUUUUAAGGUUAUCAGUUUAAUAUUGGUAACUCUAGUGGAAGUUCAAUAGUCCUUAGUGACUGCUCAGUAUAAAUUGUUAUCCAGUUGGAUACCUUGAUAGUCGUUGAAUUCAUAUAUAUUUGUUGAUUUAUAUUGAAUUAUCGUUCUUAUUCAAAGAAUUGUUGAUAUUUCUUACCCAUGAUGUUAUUCUGAUACUUUGAACUAUCCUAGAAAUGGCACUCCGAUAUUUCAAACCUUAUGAUAUUAUAUCCUAUACCCUUGUUGUAUAUUACUUGUUGGACAAUUUGUGCUCAUCCUUGCUUUUAAAAAAACCUUUCAGUUAAGGCAGAACAGGGAAGUGUAUCCGGGCAGGACAAGGGCAAGGGCAAGGCUACCGACUAGCUUGUCCUUUUUAUGUUCAAAGUCUAUUAUGUUGUAUUAAGACUAUUUCAGACUAUGUUUAAGCUUAAGUAGGAUCAUGUAAUAAGUCUUUAUUAGAUAUUAUUAUGUAAUCUAUUAAGCACUGUAGGUUACGAGACUUGGGGGAAUAAUUAUAAUAAAUUAUUGUAUAUUAUUUUAAAGUAGAUUUUUCGUUGUGUAUGCGUUAUUUUAGAUAUUGUGGUUUUACCAUGAGAACGUGAUGAACCGAAUUUGAGGGACCAAGUGGAGGUCCGAAUUUGGGGGUGUCACAGGUUGGUAUCAAAGCUAUAGUUAUAAACUUUAGGAACGAGAGUCCUUAGAUUAUAACUUAAGAAAACUUAGAGGUUAGGAAGGGAUAAAAAUCACGUAGAGUUUUCCCAAAGAGACUUAACGUGUUAUGAAAUGUAACUUCAUUCUAUACAAUGAACUUAUGUUUAUUUAACAUUCUGAUGGAGUUGUUUUUUGUCUUGUCUUAUGUUGGUGAUUGUAGGAUGACUGACAUUGGAGGACCUAGUCGAGUAGUUGAGGAGGAACCGCGUGAUAUCCACGUAGUCUAUGAGACACUCGUGAUAGCGGAGCCUAUAUCGGUAGUUGUCCCUAUUAGUGAUGAUGAUGAGGAGGAGGAGAUGGUACCUCUACCUGAGGAGUCUAAUCCGGAGAAGGAGCCUAUGGAGGAGGAACCCGUGGAGGAACCCGAGCCCAUGGAGGACUCCGACGAGACUACUUUUGAGGAUUGGAUGUUGGGAGUAUGAAGAAUAGAUUUUGGAAUUAGGAUGUAGAGUCGAAGAGCUGGUGUGACGCCCCCAAAUCCGGGUACUUGAAACCCGAACUCGGUGCUUCACGAUACCAUUUCUAUAAGCUGAAUAAUACUAAUAAUAAUAACAAUAAUAUAAAAUUCAAACUUAAUUUACAUAUGCAUCAAAGUUUACUCCCAGGUACGAGACCUUUAAACAUUCAUUACAUCAUAGAUAAUAAGUAUCAUUUUCUUAAUAAACUAUAACUAUUACACAACAUUAUAUAAAUCUCAUUCGAACAACUUUCAUUUCCCCUUGUUCUUGCCUGAACCUUCUGGUUGAUCAUACUUAACUGAAAACAUUUAAAUUUAAAGCAAGAAUGAGCAUUGGAUUGCCCAGCAAGUAAUAACAACAAUAUAUAUUAGCUGAAAGAAUUAAAUAUUUUUUUUGAAAGACACUUCUACAACGAAUCAACAGUUGUGAAGUAAGCUGAACCAAUAAUAACAACAUAUCACUUCCACAUGUAAUCUUUGAAACUACGUAUAAACUAUAAUUGGAGAUCAGUCGACAGACUAUGAACAUUGUUUUUUUUUUAUUUUAGCUAGGGUUUAGCAGAACUUCAUCCGUAAACCGUCAUAACUUACGGACACGAGGGUGAUCUGCCCAAUGUGCCAUGUAUUGAUCAAUACUACAUGCAAGAACGAUAUCAUCGUUCACUCUAUCCACCUUAGGUGCACAAAAAUUUUUCCAUAUUCGGGAUGUUCAUACUUAGUUGGGAAUCCGAACCAAAAUAAUCUGGUUGGAUACAAUAACGUUCUAUCUUGUUCAACAAUAUUUUUAUGUCUAGCUGAAUCAAAUAGCUUAGACGGCUUUUAAGUCAACGUAUACAUACUUGAAAUCAAUAAGUAUGUAUCAAC